GUCUCUGUAGCUCAGUGGUAAGCAGCGAGCGAUUGCAGUCAAUUGGCAGUUAUCGCUAGGUCGGUCGUUCGAAUCGGCCCAGGGACU